rnacentral:rRNA from 1 species
GAUGAACGCUGGCGGCGUGCCUAAUACAUGCAAGUCGAGCGAACGGACGAGAAGCUUGCUUCUCUGAUGUUAGCGGCGGACGGGUGAGUAACACGUGGAUAACCUACCUAUAAGACUGGGAUGACUUCGGGAAACCGGAGCUAAUACCGGAUGAUAUUUUGAACCGCAUGGUUCAAAAGUGAAAGACGGUCUUGCUGUCACUUAUAGAUGGAUCCGCGCUGCAUUAGCUAGUUGGUAAGGUAACGGCUUACCAAGGCAACGAUGCAUAGCCGACCUGAGAGGGUGAUCGGCCACACUGGAACUGAGACACGGUCCAGACUCCUACGGGAGGCAGCAGUAGGGAAUCUUCCGCAAUGGGCGAAAGCCUGACGGAGCAACGCCGCGUGAGUGAUGAAGGUCUUCGGAUCGUAAAACUCUGUUAUUAGGGAAGAACACAUGUGUAAGUAACUGUGCACAUCUUGACGGUACCUAAUCAGAAAGCCACGGCUAACUACGUG